GUCUUCGUUGUGUAAUGGUCGCACCCUCGGCGCGUAAUCGAGAGGUCUAGGUUCGAAUCCCGGCGAGGACG
rnacentral:tRNA from 1 species